AUUAUUAUUAUUAUUAUUAUUAUUAUUAUUAUUAUUGUAUGACACAGCAAACAAGAUAGAUAUGCUGGAUUUCGUAUCACAAAAUCACAAGUCGAACACUUCCCAAGUGUCUAGGACUGUGUGAUGUAUUUUCGGAUGAUUCGCACAGAUCCCAGUAGGGUGGCCUUUUACAGUUGUCAGAUCGUAAUUUUGUCAAUAUCCAUUGUUUCCAAAUGCCGGCUGAGAUCUUUUGGCACAGCACCCAAUGUGCCGAUCACUACCGGGACCACCUGCACUGGUUUCUUCCAGAGUCUUUGAAGUUUUGUCUUGAGGUCCUGAUAGCGGCUGAGUUUUUCCUGUUGUUUUUCGUCAAUGCAAUUGUCACCUGGGAUGGCAACAUAAAUGAUCCAAACCUUUUUCUUUUCCACAACUGUGAUGUCUGGNNNNNNNNNNNNNNNNNNNNNNNNNCAUCACAGUUGUGGAAAAGAACAAGGUUUGGAUCAUUGAUGUUGCCAUCCCAGGUGACAGUCGCAUAGAUGAAAAACAACAUGAAAAACUCAGCCGCUAUCAGGACCUCAAGAUUGAACUUCAAAGACUCUGGCAGAAACCAGUGCAGGUGGUCCCGGUGGUGAUGGGCACACUGGGUGCCGUGCCAAAAGAUCUCAGCCGGCAUUUGGAAACAAUAGACCUUGACAAAAUCACGAUCUGCCAACUGCAAAAGGCCACCCUACUGGGAUCUGCACACAUCAUCAGAAAAUACAUCACACAGUCCUAGACACUUGGGAAGUGUUCGACUUGUGAUUUUGUGAUACGAAAUCCAGCAUAUCUAUCUUGUUUGCUGUGCCAUACAACGUCGUUGCGUUGAUAAUAAUAAUAACAACAACAACAGCAGCAGCAGCAGCAACAACAACAACAACAACAACAACAACAACAACAACUUUAUUUCUAACCCGCCCUCUCUCCCCAAAGGAACUCAGGAUAGCUUCCGUACACAAAAAUGGCAAACAUUCAAUGCCGUGUACACUAUAAAGUGUAAACAUUUAAAACAUACAAUUAAAAAGGAAUUAAACAGCCUUGGCUAAAAACAUAUAAAUAUAAAAGCAUGUAACUCAGUCCAGCAUCAUAAAUAAUACAAUUCCACAUUUAAAAUCUGUAUAAUGAUGUACAAAAUAUAGCUCUUCAAUAAAUUUAAAUAGUAAUUGUCUGCUUCGUCCAUCAAGAUGGAAUCAGUGGUAAAAUAUUCAUCCACCUAUUCAUCCUAUUUUCUGCAAAAGAAACAGCAUUUUCUGCAAAAAUAUUAUUUUAUAUGAAAAAUGUUCUUUUGUGAAUUUAUAAUACUGUUUUCUGUGUAAAACAACCCCAUGGAAAGUUUAUGCAGGUUAAAUCCAAAACUAAAAAUAAUCUUUAAAAGCUGGAUGGUUUUUGAGGUCUUGUCAGCUUCAGUAAGAAAAUGCUAGUUACUUAUUGCUUCCUUCAAGAAUAAUAUCCUUCAUUACAGGUCCCAGAAGUCAAUGGGAUAUUUCUAUGGUAAUUAUAGUAGUAUCAUAAUGUUAUAACUAUGUAGUGUGAAAGGCCUCCAAGGUCAUCCUCUGUUUUUCUGAUAUGAACAUUGUCUACCUUCCAUAUCUGACUUUAAAUAGAAUUUUUCUUUACACUUUUGAUUUUCUUGGUAGAACAUACUGUAAUAUGUGAUUUUUCACCAGUGCAACAUUUUUCUAAAACUACACUCUUCCUCAAAUUUCACAAAUAUUUUGACCUCAGCUGUAUGGGUCACCCAAACUAGCUGAAAUAGGCCAUUUCAUGGGGGGUUGGAUAUAUUAACACAUCAUUACUACUGAUAUCAAGACAGAAUAAAUGGUAAUAUAAAAUGGAAAAAGUAUCACUUAGUAUGGUAUAGUGAUUUGAGCAUUGGUCUAUGACUCUUGCAACCAGAGUUCAUAUCUCCACUCAGCCAUGGAAACCCAUUCAGUGACCCUGGGAUCUCUCUCAGCCUCAGAGGAAUGCAAAUGCAACCUUCCUCUGAACAAAUCCUGCCAAGAAAACCACAUCAUAGGUUCUCCUUAGGAUCAACAUGUUGCAAAUAGAGUGGAGGCAUACAGCAUACCACACAAACAGAGGUGGAAGGUAAAUAGAUAGAUUAAAUAUAUUUUCCAACAAAGAAAGAAACAUUAAGAAUGAUGAAAAGCUUGAAUCUUAGCUCUACAACUCUGCUGUAAUGAACGCUGAUUCUGCAUGGGGAUGAUAAAGAUUGAAGGGAAGCAUUAAACUUUCUUUUUUUCUGUGUAGUGCUGGGGAUUCCCAAUGAUCCAAAUAAAUACCCACAGGUAGGAGAGCAUUUGUGUAGGGUAGGCAAUUCUCUAUGCCCUGUUUAUGAAUUCACACAAGUCAUAUUCGCUUUAUAUCUUUGUGAAUUUCUGUGGAGGACUGCAAUCUAUUAGAAUGUAAUCACAUCUGGGCACAAGUUGUCCCAAUUCUCUAACCUCUGAGCUAUUUUUUAAAUCACAA
ensembl:lncRNA